rnacentral:lncRNA from 10 species
GACCAGCAUGCUCUAGGUUCUCUCCUGCUGGCACGUGGACCAGGAGAAGUUAGCAGAUACGGUCUUCUUUCUCUGGACGGUUCACCUUUGGCUCAGUGCCCUACAGCUUGUAUACAGGAAAGAGAAGUAAGAAGUAGUUAUUUAAGAGAACUUCCCCACUGUCUGUGCUGUGACCUCCUUCUCUGACAGCCAACUUUUUAAACAAGCAUCUUAAUAUUUCAGCAGAUGGUGCUAAGGUUUGCUGAAACAGCCUACAGUAUUCCCAGUUUGUUCCCACAUUUCUGGAUUCUUUGUAAUUAGCUCGCAACAUGCGUGAAAGUGAGCUCAGAUGUAACCUAAACCCAUGGAACUUGGAAAAAGAAGCAUCUGCCGAGAGGAGCGGGGUUGAUCUUGAUUUGCUUUCAGGGAGUUGCCACGGAGGUGAGCUUUAUGAGAUUAUCAGUGGCUGGAAGUCAUCGCAGCUGUGUUGUGUUGUCUGUCCUGGGUGCCCAUUUGCUUCUAGUUACAAAUCAAGUAUUGGUUUUCAUUUAUAGAGACCUAUGUCAAUUUUGUUCCCACCCUGGUUAUCAUGAAGUCAACUCUGGUUUUCCUGGUUUAUUAUUUGCCAUGGUCUCUGUUCCUACAACUUGUGCCUGUGUCUGGGGACCUCACGUAGAAGGUGUUACAAUUUUAGAAAAAUACUGAGUUAAAUUUUGUAAACCAAUAGUAUAUUCUUACAUCGUCUGCAGAGACCUGCAUUAUGUGAAGCAGCAUCUUCUUUCCCCUUGAUGUUGAAACUGGAUGAAGGAUCUUGUCAGGCUCACAGUAACUAGAGUUAGGGACAAGGCAGGGAAUAGUGAGAGGCAAGGCUCACAGAUAUGAAUAGGAGCCAGAACUUGGUAGAGAAGGCGUGGGACCAAGUUAGAGGUGCAUGAAUGUUCAAUGUCAGGGCAGGUUUGCAGAUGAGGAGUAGUGACUUAGUUUGAGCUGUAUUUGAAGGAAAACUCGAGAGAUGGAAGAGGACUAGGAUAUUAAGUGACUUUGGAGUAAGCCAAGUAAGAGGAAAGGAAAAUGCCUAUGGAACUGGAAUGAAGAGACUUGCAAGAAAAUGCAAGUAUAGAUGUUGAUGGAGUUUGUCAGUGAUGUCGAAAAGGUUUAAUACAAUUCCAAAGAAUUCUUGCUUGCAAAACUAGCUCAAUCUCGUCUUUCUAGUUUUACCUUACACGGUUCCUUUCACAUGCUUAACCUCAGCCAACCUAGGCAGUUUGCGUGUCAUAAAUGUGAGCUUCAUUUUCCACCCCGUUACAUUUUUUUCUUCAUCAUAAAUGUCCUUUUUGCACUUAGGAAUCCCUGAUGAAUCUGGAAGGGAGAGUAGGAUUUUAAUGAGAAAAGGGAACCUUUUUCUCUCCGCCAAGCUUUACUUCAAAUACCACCUUCUGAAUCCUUCCCUGUUGGUCUAAAAUCUGUUGUAGUGCCUGUAUCAUGGUUAGUGGGUCACACUUCUGACACGUUGACCACAUAUGUCGUGGUGGCAUGCACCAAGAUCAGAUUGUUCUACCUGAGUUAAAGAUGUUCCUCCUGUUGCCUUUUGUGAAGCAGGAGAGAAUCAGAGCACCAGUGGAACAACAGCAGUGAGAAGCUCAUCAGCUUCACGAACUGACCACAGACCAAUCAGUGAAUUCCUGUCCUGCUUUCACUUUGCUUUCCGUGCUAUGUGGAAAUAAGAGCUCUCCCCAGCCUACCACAGAUAUUAGAAACUGUUCCAUAAAUGACUGUUCUGAAAGUAAAUUAUUGGCUAUAAUGCUAAUGGUUUUCUUUUUUUUCCUCAUCCAAGUUCUAGUUAGGUGAAAACAUAGCUCUCUAGUAGUUUGCUGCACAUUUCCUGUGAAAGUGAAGAUUCUCCUUUCUUAAUGAAGAGCAGCUCAUAUAUGAUGACAAAACAGAGGCAAGGUUAGCACUUUUGGGACAUGUUUCAUAUUUUAGUUUUAAUUUCUGAUCUAGGUUUUCUGUAUUCUCUGGUUGGUUAUGACGAUAAAAAUCAUGGCAUUGUAACUAUUUAUGUUAUGAAAUAUCCCCUAAGAAAAUAUAUUAGACUACCUUUUAAAAUGAUACUUAUAUUUAUUUUCUGAUUAGAAAAGUUAUAGCUCAUUUCAGGGAAUUUACAAAAUGCAGAACAGCGUGAAGAAGAAAGAACUCAUAAUCUUAACCUAGAAAGGACUAGUGUUGAUAUUUUGGGUUCUUUUAUCAUACGACAUUUGUUGUCUCCCUAGAGUGUUAAGCUAUUGUUAUACCAUUUGUCCAGACGGAUUUGAAACACCA